rnacentral:lncRNA from 1 species
AAUACAUAAAACAUUUCUUCAACAAGUUAAAAAAAAUUUCAGCGAUGCAUUGCUGCAUUUUAUUGUUAUGAUAAACUGCCAUCAAGUUUUAAGUCUAUUAGUGGAACAAGUUUUCAAUCUCCAAUAUAUAUGGAACUACGAUACCUAAAGUCUUAAAAAGUCUUUAUUUGCAUUGGAUAUCUUGGUGGAAAAGACUGAGUUUGAAGAUUCAUAAUUUUAUUAUGAUGAAAUAAAUGAUAUAACAAGGUCUUUUUCAGCUCUGCUAAUAAUAUUUUGGAUGAAAUAAUGUCAAAAUGUGUUCCAUUGUUUAAGGAAGCUGAAACUUAUCGAAAUAAAUUAUUUCAAAAAAACUUAUUUAGUAGAAUAAUUAUAGGAACAUUAGUGUCACAUACAGCAAAUUUCGAUUUGGUCGAUAAGUUGAAAGGCGAUUGUUUGAAGAGAAUAAUAAAAUAAAUAGCUUAA